rnacentral:misc_RNA from 1 species
UAAUAAGUGUUUUAUGGCACUUUUUAAAUCCAUAUCCACCUUGUGUGCAAUGUCAGUCGAUCUUCUUCAUGGAGAUCGACCAAACAUCAACCUUUAUCUUUUAACUCUUUGUCUGAAAAACUAUUAUGAAUAAACAAUUCAAAAUA